AGCCACAAAGUGGGUAUCACAAGAAUAGAGAGGUUCAGAAUUAUGGUAUGUGAAAGUCUAAACUGACGACACAUGAUCAUAAACAAGAGACAAAACAGCUGCUCCAACUCUUAAACAGUAACCAGCCUCCACCAAUGAGAAAUGUCCAAUAAACAGAGGACACCUGGGCUCCUCACUACCUGUAGGAAGCAGAACACGCCCUGUCUCCCUUUCUUUCCCCCCACUUGGAACCAACUCAGCAGCUGUACUUCCUGUAUCUAGAAUUUUUGAAGGUCUGCUCCAGGAAAGAGGAAGGACAGAUGGAUUAGUGUACAGUGGACAUGGCUGAGAGUCAUGUGAUCUGGGUUCAACUCUUGUCUCUGCCACACACUUCCUGUGUGAUCUUGAGCAGGUCACGUAAUCUGCCAUCUGUAAAAUAGGGCUAAUACUAGCCUCUCUCAUGGAGGUGAUGAGAGGAUAAAAUCCAUUAAUGACUGUGAUCUACUCAGAUCCUGUGGAGAUGAAGGCCAUACUCAUAGGUGAGGUGCUGAGAAAGCUUCAUCUCCUGCGUACACAAGUUUCAUGCUUGAAGUUGACCGUUCUGUUUUUCCAGUGGAAGGUAGCCAUCACAGGAGGUUGUGAUCAUGUGGUAUGCAGCAGCUCCCCAGAUUUUAAGGUAGGCAGUUCCAUACUUUGGUGUACAGAACUGAGCCAAACAUGCCUCAUUAUGACUAAGUCUGAAUCUGACAGGAGAUGGCAAAGUCUUAUGCUGCAGACAAGAAAGAGCCCUUUUUUCAUGGUCAUGGCUAACUGGGGAGGUGCCCACAUGCCAUGGUGAUGGGUGCUGUAUAAGAAGCUAAAUAGAAGAGAAAGCAGUGAGGAGUAUUGAGUUUGAUGAAUGGAACCAAGCUUGAAUUGGAACUUUAUAUCCAAAUCCAACUCUGUGAGUGGGUGAAUUUCAACUCCAUGGCCAAGCCAUU